UCCAGGGCCCAAUAAUGGGUACAUAAAAAUUACCUGGCUGUAUCAAAGGAAAGGAUAAAAACAGAUUGGACUAUUAACUUGGGUGAUGUAAAUACUGAUAUUUUGGAAUGAGUAAAAUUGCUUUGGAUACCUUAAUUCUGAUGGGCUAUCCUAAAUUUCAGAGAAAACAUGUAAUGCUAGGAUGUCUACAUCAGACAGUAGAAAGCUGCUGAAGGAAGACUCCGGGGAUUAUGGAUGAGCUCUGCCUGUAACUUGCAGUGUGGCCUUGGAUCCAGUGGGCAGAGUCCGGGGCACUUUUGGUAAAGAGGUCCUGCCCUGAGCUCCUCUGUGGCAUUGCCCUGCACUGAACAGCUGUUGUUUUAGGACAGGCUGCAUUUCUGUGAGUACAAGAUGGUCUUUGCAGGUGGCUGGUACAUGAAUUUUAAGCUUGUUGAGUGCUUUGAGAUAUGAAGCUAAAAAUACAUGUGGGAGGUGUGUGUAUGUGUGUGUGUGUGUGUGUGUGUGUGUUUGAGAGAGAGAUUAUUCUUUGUACAAAGAAAAAGUGACAAGGGGUUAUAUGCCGCUGAUGUUCCUGCAUCAUCAUCAUCAAAUACUGUUUAUUAAGCUUCCUCCACAUCGCUGAUGUUAAGGGCUUGCAGAUUCUCUUGGGUUUCUCUUUUCUUCCUCUCCCUGUACUCAGCCUCCAACAUCAUUCUACCCUCCCAGCUCUUACCUUAGCAGUUUUGUACUAGUUUCUGUACUAAGACUUGACUAC